UUUCUCACCGCCAGAUUCUUGAAUUGAACAUAUGCUUGCUCUGUUAAUGAAAUUUCAGUAGACCUGUUGCAAGAAGAGGCAUGCAUUUCUGCUGUUACCAUGAGAAGAACAUGCCCCAGCUGCAGCCAGAUCACAGGAAAGGAUUAAGAAACAUGUGGAACUGAGCUAAACCCAGUCAUGUCCGUCUAGAUUAGCUGACCUUUCAGCUGUGCCAGGAUGUGUGAACGAACAAAGCUGAAGCCAGAGAAUCACCAAAUGUAACUCAGCCUUGAUCAGCCUAUCCUCAGGCUUAUGAUCCUCAGCUUAUCUGCAUACUUGUGAAAAAUGGCUCCCAGCCAAUUGCGUGACCACAUUGAGACCAGAUCGUCUCCACCAGUUGAACAGGCUCACACAUGAGCCUCCUCUGGAAACGCCCUCACAGACACACCCAGGAAUAAUGCUUUACCAGCUCUUUAGGUAUUCUUUAAUCCAGGCACGUUGAUACCUAAAAUCAGCCUUCACAAUGUGUAACCACAGCACCAGGAGAAAUGACAGGCAUGUACUGUCUCUACAAAGUGUUCCGUCUCACACAAUCAGAG
rnacentral:lncRNA from 10 species